UAGAGUUUGAUCCUGGCUCAGAUUGAACGCUGGUGGCAGGCUUAACACAUGCAAGUCGAGCGGGGAAAGGUAGCUUGCUACCUGACCUAGCGGCGGACGGGUGAGUAAUGCUUAGGAAUCUGCCUAUUAGUGGGGGACAACAUUCCGAAAGGAGUGCUAAUACCGCAUACGCCCUACGGGGGAAAGCAGGGGAUCUUCGGACCUUGCGCUAAUAGAUGAGCCUAAGUCAGAUUAGCUAGUUGGUGGGGUAAAGGCCUACCAAGGCGACGAUCUGUAGCGGGUCUGAGAGGAUGAUCCGCCACACUGGGACUGAGACACGGCCCAGACCCCUACGGGAGGCAGCAGUGGGGAAUAUUGGACAAUGGGCGAAAGCCUGAUCCAGCCAUGCCGCGUGUGUGAAGAAGGCCUUUUGGUUGUAAAGCACUUUAAGCGAGGAGGAGGCUACUUAGAUUAAUACUCUAGGGUAGUGGACGUUACUCGCAGAAUAAGCACCGGCUAACUCUGUGCCAGCAGCCGCGGUAAUACAGAGGGUGCGAGCGUUAAUCGGAUUUACUGGGCGUAAAGCGUGCGUAGGCGGCUUUUUAAGUCGGAUGUGAAAUCCCUGAGCUUAACUUAGGAAUUGCAUUCGAUACUGGGAAGCUAGAGUAUGGGAGAGGAUGGUAGAAUUCCAGGUGUAGCGGUGAAAUGCGUAGAGAUCUGGAGGAAUACCGAUGGCGAAGGCAGCCAUCUGGCCUAAUACUGACGCUGAGGUACGAAAGCAUGGGGAGCAAACAGGAUUAGAUACCCUGGUAGUCCAUGCCGUAAACGAUGUCUACUAGCCGUUGGGGCCUUUGAGGCUUUAGUGGCGCAGCUAACGCGAUAAGUAGACCGCCUGGGGAGUACGGUCGCAAGACUAAAACUCAAAUGAAUUGACGGGGGCC
rnacentral:rRNA from 1 species